UGUCCUAAGGUGAGCACAGGGAGGACAGAAACCUCCCGUGGAGCAGAAGGGCAAAAUCUUGCUUCAUCUUAAUUUUCAGCAUGAAUACAGACUGUGAAAGCAGGGCCUCACGAUCUUUCGGACGUUUUGGGUUUUAAGCAGGAGGUGUCAGAAAACUUGCCACAGGGAUAACUGGCUUGUGGCAGCCAAGCAUUCAUAGCGAUAUUGCUUUUUGAUCCUUCGAUGUCAGCAUUACUAUCAUUUUGAAACAGAAUUCACCAAGCGUUGGAUUGUUUACCCACUAAUAGGGAACGUGA
rnacentral:rRNA from 1 species